rnacentral:rRNA from 1 species
GACCAAGGAGUCUAACACGUGCGCAAGUCGCAGGGCUGUACGAAACCCGGAGGCGCAAUGAAAGUGAAGGUCUGCCUUGUGCAGGCCCUGGUGAGAUCUCGAGAAGAGUAUUUAUUUACUCUCGACGGGCGCACCACCGGCCCGUCUCAGCCGCAGCGUCGGCGAGGCGGAGCAAGAGCGUACUUGUUGGGACCCGAAAGAUGGUGAACUAUGCCUGAGCAGGACGAAGCCAGAGGAAACUCUGGUGGAGGUCCGCAGCGAUUCUGACGUGCAAAUCGAUCGUCUGACUUGGGUAUAGGGGCGAAAGACUAAUCGAACCAUC